rnacentral:rRNA from 1 species
GACGAACGCUGGCGGCGUGCUUAACACAUGCAAGUCGAACGGACAGGCCCUGCUUUUGUUGGGUUCUCGAGUGGCGAACGGGUGAGUAACACGUGAGUAACCUGCCCUUGACUUUGUGAUAACUUCAGGAAACUGGGGCUAUUACCGGAUAGAAUCUCCUGCUGCAUGGUGUGGGUUGGAAAGUUUCGGCGGUUGGGGAUGGUCUCGCGGCUUAUCCGCUUGUUGGUGGGGUAGUGGCUUACCAAGGCUUUGACGGGUAGCCGGCCUGAGAGGGUUACCGGCGACAUUGGGACUGAGAGACGGCCCAGAAGCGUACGGGAGGCAGCAGGGGGAAAUAUUGCACAAUGGGGGGAAGCGUGAGGCAGAAACGCCGCGUGCGGGAUGACGGCCUUCGGGGUGUAAACAGAUGUGGAAUGUGACGAAGAGUGAGUGACGGUAAUGGGUAAAGAAGCACCGGCUAACUACGUG